GAAUGGAGCCUCAUAGAGGGUGAGAAUCCCGUCUCUGGCAUGGACCCUCCGGUGCUUSWGUGAYGCGCUCUCGAAGAGUCGAGUUGUUUGRGAAUGCAGCUCAAAAUGGGUGGUGAACUCCAUCUAAAGCUAAAUAUUGGCGAGAGACCGAUAGCGAACAAGUACCGUGAGGGAAAGAUGAAAAGCACUUUGGAAAGAGAGUGAAACAGUACGUGAAAUUGUUGAAAGGGAAACGCUUCAAGUCAGUCGCGUUGACCGAGACUCAGCCUUGCCUUGGCUUGGUGUACUUCUCGGCUGACGGGCCAGCAUCAAUUUUGUCCCUCGGAUAAUGGCAAGGGAAAGGUGGCACCCUUUUGGGUGUGUUAUAGUCUCCUGUCGCAUGCGAGGGGUGGGAUUGAGGACCUCAGCACGCACCUCUUGGUGUCGGGGCUUCGGCCCACGCUACGUGCUUAGGAUGUUGGCGUAAUGGCUUUAAACGACCCGUCUUGAAACACGGACCAAGGAGUCUAACAUGCCCGCGAGUGUUUGGGUGGAAAACCCAUGCGCGAAAUGAAAGUGAAAGUUGGGACCUCUGUCGUGGAGGGCACCGAUGCCCGGACCAGACCUUCUGUGACGGAUCUGCGGUAGAGCGUGCAUGUUGGGACCCGAAAGAUGGUGAACUAUGCCUGAAUAGGGUGAAGCCAGAGGA
rnacentral:rRNA from 1 species